rnacentral:rRNA from 1 species
GUGCCAGCAGCCGCGGUAAUACGGAGGAUGCGAGCGUUAUCCGGAAUGAUUGGGCGUAAAGCGUCCGCAGGUGGCGAUGUAAGUCUGCUGUUAAAGAGUGAGGCUCAACCUCAUAAGAGCAGUGGAAACUACAUAGCUAGAGUACGUUCGGGGCAGAGGGAAUUCCUGGUGUAGCGGUGAAAUGCGUAGAGAUCAGGAAGAACACCAGUGGCGAAGGCGCUCUGCUAGGCCGUAACUGACACUGAGGGACGAAAGCUAGGGGAGCGAAUGGGAUUAGAUACCCCAGUAGUCCUAGCCGUAAACGAUGGAUACUAGGCGUGGCUUGUAUCGACCCGAGCCGUGCCGUAGCUAACGCGUUAAGUAUCCCGCCUGGGGAGUACGCCGGCAACGGUGAGACUCAAAGGAAUUGACGGGGGCCCGCACAAGCGGUGGAGUAUGUGGUUUAAUUCGAUGCAACGCGAAGAACCUUACCAAGGCUUGACAUGUCGCGAAUCUUCUUGAAAGGGAAGAGUGCCUUCGGGAGCGCGAACACAGGUGGUGCAUGGCUGUCGUCAGCUCGUGUCGUGAGAUGUUGGGUUAAGUCCCGCAACGAGCGCAACCCUCGUUUUUAGUUGCCAGCAUUAAGUUGGGCACUCUAGAGAGACUGCCGGUGACAAACCGGAGGAAGGUGGGGAUGACGUCAAGUCAGCAUGCCCCUUACGCCUUGGGCUACACACGUACUACAAUGCUCCGGACAGAGGGCAGCAAGCAUGCGAAUGCAAGCAAAUCCCGUAACCGGAGCUCAGUUCAGAUCGCAGGCUGCAACUCGCCUGCGUGAAGGAGGAAUCGCUAGUAAUUGCAGGUCAGCAUACUGCAGUGAAUUCGUUCCCGGGCCUUGUACACACCGCCCGUCACACCAUGGAAGCUGGUAGUGCCCGAAGUCAUUACUCCAACCUUUCGGGGGGGAGGAUGCCUAAGGCAGGACUGGUGACUGGGGUGAAGUCGUAACAAGGUAACC